AUUCUACCCAUGUGGGGAAGGAUGAGAAGCUUCGACUAAGGUUCGAUUCGAGCGCAGCGAGAAAGCGUUGCCAACGGCAACGGCCCGAAGGGCGAAGCGCGCAGCGCUGAGUCAUCCUUCCCCCACCACCA
rnacentral:sRNA from 27 species